UACGGAGGGUGCAAGCGUUAUCCGGAAUCAUUGGGUUUAAAGGGUCCGCCGGCGGUCAAAUAAGUCAGAGGUGAAAUCCCACAGCUUAACUGUGGAACUGCCUUUGAUACUGUUUGACUUGAGUUGUACGGAAGUAGAUAGAAUGUGUAGUGUAGCGGUGAAAUGCAUAGAUAUUACACAGAAUACCAAUUGCGAAGGCAGUCUACUACGUAUAUACUGACGCUCAUGGACGAAAGCGUGGGUAGCGAACAGG
rnacentral:rRNA from 1 species